UUCCUGCUGUUCUGCCACUUCAGGAUCUCUUCCCUCAGGAGCACAGACAUGGAAAAAUGCACUGACACAGCUCUGCAAGGAGACCUGACUGCUGUUGCCAAGGUGUCGGUGUUGUGAGACUUUAUUGGAAAUCUGGGAAAAUUCAUGUCAUCCCUGACAAAGAUCUGUCCCCAGGGGGUACAAGCCAACUCUGAGACAGAGAGGGAAAACAGAGCACCCCAAAGAUGUCCAGAACAUCUCCUCAGUGAUUUCCUGCAUUUCUCCAAGCACCAGCAGGUUUUAGGAUGCACUUUAACACGCUUUUAUCCUCCAGAAAAACUGAGCUCUUCCCCCCCGCCAAGGGAAGGUCAGGGAGCCGCUGGUGUCCCAGCAGAGCAGGAGGGAGCUGCCGCGAGAGCGUGGCCAGAGCGACGGAGGCCGCCUGAAAGGGAACUUCUGACGGGAACAAAGGAAGCUGGAAGGACCCAGAGGUUUAAGCCACAACCCUUUGGAAACAAGAGGCAUGAGGCAAUUUUAAUAUUUCUCCAAGAAUAUCUCAUCAGAAGAACUGGAAUGUGCAUGAUGGGGCCAUAAAACAUCUUAAUUUUCCAGGCAAAGGGAGAUGUUGUCCCCCACAGAAAAAAGUUAUUGAAGAGGAAGAACGUAGUGAGGUUGAACGGGAGAACAUUUUCUAGGGAUGGACAAGUAAAUUUCAGACUAAAUUAUUUCCUCAAUUUAUGUAGAAGAGGAUGAACUAAACGUUCCAUGGGAUGUUUGCUACAAACAUUUUUCUGGGAUACCUUUAGGAAAAAAAAAGAAUUUAAAAAGUCCUGUCAAUAAAACCAGACCGGAUUUAUGGACGGACUGCAGAGCCCAGGAAAGGACUGGAAUGCUCAACAGGGGAUGAGAUCACCACAAAUAAACCCAGGAACACAGCAGAGGACACAGGAGAAGCAUCUGUCCUUCAGGGAGGAGUUUUGUUUCCCAGAGCUCCCAUCACAUUUAGUGUCAAUUUGUUCAAAAUGAAGACCCUCGAAUCUUUCACUGGGCGAGGAAUUGUCUCCAGCUGGGGAGAUUCUCUUCGCAGCAGCGUGGGUGUAUCCAGAGUAGCCAGGCUGAAGCCAAUAAGAUUUCAGUUCUAAUUCCCACGAAUCCCUUUACAAAUGUCCUUUUCUUCACGGAAUAAUGUCAAGAAACUUUUCUGAUUCCUGGGUAUUGUUUCUCCUGGAGCAUGAGGGACUCCUCUAAGAAUUGUGGAAAAAUUUGGGUUUGAAGAGACCUCAAAGCUCAUCUCAUUCCAACCCUCUGCCAUGGGUGACUCAUGGUGCUCAGUGUGGAAUUCCAGCUGAGUAGGAGGUGGGAAUGAGCUCCUGUGCAGAUCAUGCCCAUCCCAAGGGACAGUGCUCAGCCUCCGGAUCCAUCGGCUCCCGUUCGAUGUCUGCCUUGUCCGUAAUCUCUCGGCAGACUCCUGCAGCUAGCUAAUCUUCCUAUUGAUUUUGGCUUAGGAACACCUGGAGCUGUUCAAUCCCUAAUAAAAUCUGAGGAGUUCGGUUUUCGAGCCAUUUAACUCAUUUGGAGGCAGAGUUUAUUUAUUUUCUGAGGAGCAAUCGAAGAGCUCUGCUUGUUCCUGAGUAAAGGCGUCAGACGGACAAGUGAAAACCGAGCCAAAAUCCAUCCAACCACGCCGAGCUCCUGCCCUGCAACUGGAAUGUUUUGGGCUACCAUGCAUCUGCCUGGAUUUUCCCUCCUUUUCCUUCUCUUCAGCUCUAUUUUCCCAGUUUAACUGGAGAGAAAAAGCCCAUCUCUUCCUGAUCCUGUGUUUCAAUCCUGCACCACAAAUCCCGAUGGAUCCGGGUUGGAAGGAAUGCCAAACUUUCUGAUUGCCUUUCCAAUUGUUUUUCUGGUUUCCCCUUCUGUUAUUUUCUCCACCCUGCUCCAGAUCCAGAUGUUUUGUUCAGGAAUUCUGGCAGAUUUGCUGAGGAGAAACCAAGGUGAGACAAAGCAAAAGGUGCAAAUUUUGGGGGAUCGGGUGUGCAGAUGGGGUCACCUUCCUGUAUUCAGUGCCAGAUACCCUGGAAUCCUGCUCAGUUCUUCAGGCAAGGCAGAAAUUACCAAAGCUCAACAGGAGAAAAAUCAAGGAACUUUUGCCUGGGUAGAAAUUGUUACUGGAAUGGGGAGAAGGCUGAGGUAUGGAAAUGGAAAAAACAUGGGAAGAGUUCACACUUCCAGGUAUUUAUUUACCUUUAUUUGUGUUAUUUACCAUUAAAUAAAGCCAAUUUUUUAGUGAAAAUAGUGUUAUAUUUAAUUGCAAGGCCCUUGCAGAAAGUCUGUAAUAUUUCAUUGCAUAGCUGAUAAGCUUAAAUCUCUGUCAGAUAACAUCUCACUUUUCUAUUUAUUUAAAUGAUGAAAGGUGGAUGUUUUAUGACUAAAAUGAUUUAAUGACUUUUUCUUUUACGUUUUCUUAACCAGGGUGACAUUUAGACAAGGGAAAGGAAAAAAAAAAGUCAGACCAGCCAUCAAUAAAUGCUUUCAUUGGUUAAAUUUUAAUGUUAUUUUUAAGCAAAUAAUGAAUUUGACUAAUAACUGCAGAGCCAGACACUAUUCAUUCCAUAAUUAGCUUGACAGUCACCAUCAAUCCUGUAGUUUUGUUCAGCUUAUUAUAAAAUCUUGUCUCCUUUUCCCACCUAACAUCUUCCCAAGUUGCAUUCCAUGAAACAGGAGGUUUCUGAAGAUUCUCCAAGCAAAUCUUUGACAAUGACAGAGCUCCAGCCACUGGAGAAAGAUGCUUUGGGAACUGAAUGCAACAGGGCCGUGUUCUGGCCGUUAAUGCUUAUGCCUGGAUUUGGAGAUGCCUCCUAGAAUAAAACCAGAAAACUGCACCUCUGGAGGAGUUUUUAAUAAUACAGAAGGAGAAAAGUGUGUCCCACUUGAGCUGUUCAUAUUGCGAGCUCCUAUCUGAAGAAAUAUUUCUGAGGGGAUUCAAAGACCCUGGAAGAAAUCCUAUAUAGGGUUAAUGAUUCUAUGAAAUGAGGAGCACCACGAGAAACUGAAGAACAUCCCCUGGUGCUACUGGAACCAAGAGCAAAUGGCAGGAAGUGCUGUGGAAGUUCUCCUGUUUGUUAUCCAAGGUCCCAAAAUGUCCCUGGAAGGAGUGGCCUGGAGAAGGUUUGGAAAUCUGGAAAUCACAGCUGAGUUUGUGCAGAAAUGGAACUUGAGUUUUAUUCUGAAGAUCCUUUCUCUCUCCCUCUAUUUAUUGGAUAUUAUCUCUCCAUUCUGCUUGUCAUGGCACUACCUGAAGUUUUGAGAUACGCAGGCUUUGGCAGCGUUAUUGACUUGGAAAGUUCCCGUGUCCUUCACAUUCCAUUGUGUUCAACUCCCCAGAUAAGUUCAUGGUUAUAUUGUAUACAUCUGAUCCAAUUUAUUUCAACAACAAGAUAUUGCUUGGAAGGAAACAGAUUCUGCUCUCUAUCUUUAGGAAUUACCUAAAUGUGCUAAAAUCCAAGCCUAACGAUUUUUCACAAUUAGGCUGAUGGGCCUUGAUGCCUUUCUGAGGGAAAAACCUGAGAAAUAUGCCCAGAAUAACAAAUCAUUAGAUGUGAUAAGCCAGGAGGUCCAGUUUUCCUGAUAACUUGUCUUAAUUAUCUUUUUGGGUUUUUUUCACUCUGGGCUACUUGUUUAUAUUGGAAGUAAAAACGAUCCCUCUGUCAUCCUUGGAUAUUCCCAGCAGCCAAGAAAGUCUUUUCCAUCUAUUUCCCCUCAUCCCCCCAGCCCCUGCAGCCAAGCUGCCUUCCAAGGCAUAAUUAAUUUAUAGUUUGUACCCCAAGGAGGAAAAGUUGAGUGCUCAUCAGUGUGAUAUUCUAGCACUUCAGUGCAUUAUUUUGGGAGAUCUUAUUGUGUUUAUUCCAAUACCCAUGGCAAAAAACCCUGGAUUCUUUGCCCUUCAUUUCCUUCUUGAACGUAAUAAACCUAAUUCAGGCACUAAUCAUAUUACAACCACUUAUUAUUUUGGUAAUUCAGACUAAAAAGGGCCUGAUUUUGGUGUUUCCACUGCAGUUGGUUGGGAGGGAGGUGGGUAUCCACUGAAAUAGUAAAAUCCAAAACAUCAUGCCCAGAAACUGGCUCUGUUCUGAAAGAAAAUCUCCAAUUUGAGUUCCAGCCACUGUGUUUUAAAGUGCUUCAUGACGCAGAGUUCCUGCACAGGGCAAGAAAAGCUGCACAAUUCUUGGUCCAGCUCAUGGCACACUUUCAUACAGGCUCGGGAACCUGAAUUUCAGCACCUCAUCUGGGAGUGUCAACCUUUGUAGGCAGUGGUAGAGCAAAAAAUCCCACUGCCAGCAACUCUUGUUGUAAUUGUCUGCCCUAUUUUAGCAACUCCAGCACAAGUUAUUGGGUUAGAUGAAGGCACCAAGAAAUAAAAUCCCAAUCUGUGGCACAGGAGAAACAUUCACAACAUUUCUGAUGGCCCGGAAAUAUCUGUUUCUGGAAAAAUCCAGCAGGAGAAAAUCCAAUUGUUCUUCUAACGUGGAAUGGGGCUGCACAGGAUGCAAUCCAGGAACGUCAUUGAGCCCUUGGAGGAGCAGCUAAAUCUGGGAAUGAAGUGUUCAUGGAAUGAAGUGCCUUUCCGUGGAUGGAAUGGUUCCUCCCCCAGCAGGUGACAGCCGGGAGCUCUGCUCCAGAUGGGGAAUGUCAAGCACCUCACAAGUGGGCUUGUUAGAAUAUUGAAGCAACCGGCCAUCAAGGGAGCAUCCAAAACACAGGGCACAGUCAAACCACACAUUAGAGGGAAAGCACAAGAUGUGGAGCUGUCAGAGAGAGUGUUGGACUCUGGGGACUGAGAAAGGACAGAGAAGGAGGGAAAAGAAAGGGCCAGUGGAUGAUGAAGUUGAAGGAUAAGAAGAAUGAUUUUAUGGAUUCACAACACAAUGCAAAGAUGUAUGCAAAUCCUCGACACCGAAACCACCCUGUAAGCAACGGAAUUUACAGGAGGUCUAAGAAUUCCUGGAGCUGCCAAAGAAACUCUGCAGAACCAGAGACUCCCAUGCAGGAGGCCCCUGGUUUGGAGUUUUGGGAUUGUUUUAAGAGUUUUCAGCUUCUGAUGUGAAAACCUAAGGUCGAUGGUUGGACUUGAUGACUUUAGAGAGCUUUUUCAACCUGAAUGAUUCUGUGACUCUGUGAUUUUGGGGUGGCACACAUGGACUAUUCAGCACAGCUAUGUCUGAGCAGAUUUAUUCUCUGCCAGUUCUCAGGACCUUUUCCUAAGUAAACUCACCAUGGAAAUGGUGCAUUAUGGAGGAUGGAUAUCACUGGAUUUAAUCAGCAGCCUUGACAGGACGAGUGGCUGCCUGUUGUAUUCCAGGACGGAGAAUGGUUCAGAACAAACAUCCCAGAAGGAAUUUCUCAUUAUUACAGCACUGUCAACCUGAAAUUGGACUUUCUAGGACUUGGAAAUCCCAUUCACACAGAGAUAUCAAUUGUAACAGAUAAUCUCUUGACUCACUUUAUUCUUAUUCACCUUAUUUAGCCUUAUUGAAUUAGGGAAACAUAAGAAUAACCCACUUGCUGAAUGUUUCUGGAUACAUAUUUGUCAUCCAUGUCAGUACAAAAAUAGCUCGAUUUAUCUGGUGUGUCUUUUAUUUUUCUUCCCCAAAAACUCGAGAACAGAUUUUUGAGCUGCCUCAAAAAAAAGUUGCCUCAGAGAUGACAUUUCAAAGAUCCAACCCAAUAAAUAAAGAUAUUGUGGCCAUUUCCCUGUAUUUCUAAGCUCGUUGUUGGAAACAACAGCCUGAUAAUUGUGGCUGCUCAUGCCAUUAAUGAAGCAAUGCCAUCUAAAGCUCGGAUUUUGCAAUCUUUUCUGCAUAUGAAUAGUCUGAAGUUCAAUGUAAGCUGAUGAUUAAGACCUACUUGAAACAUUUGAUUCUGCAAGAUGUUGUUUUGUGCCGCGGCUUUCGGCUCCCUUUGACUUCCAAGUGGCUGGAACGUUGUGAAUCACGAGUGGGAGAGCAGCUAAAUGGAGAAAGAGAAGUAAAGAGAUGAAAUAUAAAAGAGUGUAUUGGAUUCUCUCUCCUUCCAUCCCAACUCUGGGCACACAACAGCAACUCUUGACUCGAGGGACGUGAGGGAAAAGCGCUGGGGUUUCCAACGAGCCUCUGACAUUUUUGAUGUUGUGCAUUUGUAGGAUGACUCAGAUUUGCCAACUGCUGCUGCCGUGGGUUUUGGAUGCUCCAUGCUCAGGGUUUUUUUGGGUGUUUGGUGCAGAGUCUGACCCCAGCACCUGCAUCCACAGAUGCACCCUCUGCUUCCAUCCCGAAUUUUGUGGUUCAUCCAAGUCCAGCAAUGUCAAUCCGUGCAAAGAUUGAGGUGAGAUGACUUUGAAGUGCACAAGGAGCACACACAGGUCCUUGCUGGGUGCUGAUAGUAAAAAAAAAGAGAAAAAUCUCCUCCUGAUCAAUCCCACACCCCACAAUUUCAUAUUUUUUCCUCUUUUUUGUCUAGACAGGGAGGUUGGGAAGCGUGGUUUGAUGGCAGCCCGCAACAGAAACUGAUCCUGGGAAGGUAUUUUUAAUAAGGGCAUGCAAGAAUGAGCCAAAUCAAAUGAAAACCACACAGAAUAUCCCAUAUACAAAUGCAUGGAAGUGGAACUUGAUGAUCCCACGUGUCCAUUCCAACCUGAGAUGUUCUGUGAUUUAUGGAACAGAAAUGCAGGUAAAAAAAGAGUUUUAAAAAUAAUCCUGCCACUGGAUUAAAGAAACACUGAAGGUGUUUUCUUUCUUGUUUGGGACUAGAACAAGGUUGGUUCAAUUGGAUCCACAGUUUGUCAGUUCCUGGUGGCUUUUAAUGAUUCCUGGUUUUCAGCUUCAUUUAUCUGUGCACACCUUCCCUGCCACAUUGAGAAAUGGCUGGUGGGGAGGUGGAGUUGUGUCUCAGGCUGUUCUUCUUUAAUAUGGGAAAUGUUUAAACAUCCCAUUUGGUUGAAAAAAUCCAUUAUUUCCUAGUCAGUCUCAUUCUUGAAUAUGUAUUUCCCCAAAAUACUUCUGAAGUGCUCCUUUCAUCACGAUUUUGAGGUGAAAAUAAAUAAUAAAGAUUUGGAGCUGGCCAACAAGCUGGAAAAUCUAUUUCUGAACCAGCUUUGUGUACAAGAUGCUCAAAAUAAGAGAGAAAGCAGGAUGGAGAUUUCAUUCCUACUUGGAAGAUAAAGCCCAGCUGUUCCAAAGCCAUGGAGAAUAUAAUUAUCAAAAACCACUAAUGAGGCAUCCCAGGUGGCACAGAAAACUCACCUGUAUCUUAUCUCUACGCUUAGCAAAGAGAUUUGUUAUGGAAGGAAUGGUUAAUGUCAAGACUGGGAAAAAGGAAAUAUUUGCUGCACGAAUUCUCCCCUUUCAGCUUUAUUUUUGUUUACAGCUGUGCAAGCUGAGUAUAAAAUGCAGCUAUUUUGACUUCGUAGUAUUUUAUGUCUCGUUUGAACGGUUUUAAAAAUUGAUUGAAGGCGGCCAAGAAUUGAACCUUUUCCCUCUUCUCAUGUUCCGUGGUGCUGGUUUUAUGUGGCACCUUUUCCACUAAAAAGGCACAGAGGAGGCUAAACAGCAAAAUAAAAGCCAGCCAUGCUCUACUAAAUCUUAUUACCCAAACCAGAAUCAUUCGAAUGUUUUAAAAGUUUUAUCCAUUGGGUCCCUGUGGGAGGGCAGUGUCGGGUUGGUGGUGAAUUUAUUUUCCCCAAAUUUCUGAAUUUCAAUCAGGUUUGCUCUAAUAGCUGUCAGCUGACCUGAUUAAAGCCUACCUCUCCUCGAGUUGAUUUAAAUCAACUUGGCUGCCACACAGCAAGCUGAAAUUCACGCUGGCCAUCUGCUGCACUAAAUCAAUUUAUUUUGGAGAACUUUAAUUCAAUUACCAGGCUCAUAUUCCAUGGCAGGUGUAGGAGACAAAUCCAUAUUUCAGGUUCCUAUGUGGGAUCUGGUGUAGGCAACUGAGGAGUGAGAGGAGGACUUGGGUAACAUAAAAGGAGUAAGAAAGGAUUUCCCUGAAAGCUUUAAUUACAGUUUUAAAGCAGACAAUUUAAACAGGUUUUGGAAUUAGAAAUAUUUAAAAGAAUCAUAUUGUGACCUUGCAAAUCGCUGCUGCUGUUGCACACAAUGCUACAGCCCGCUAGAAAUUAUAUAAAUACUGUGACUUGGUUAACAUUUCAAACCUCUGACUCAGAAAUUACCAUGAAAAUGGGGAAUAUUUCAGGAUCCAAUGAGGCCUUUACCCAUUUCUUGGCUUAGGGUUGUAGAUCUGGAAGGCCAAAGCAUCAGAGCCAGCUCACGUGUGGCUUUUGUGUGGUGUUGGGAGCCCUCUUGUCACAUCUGUCAGCUGUUGGGAGGAGCUGCACUCUAUGGAUCCUCUGGCAUCCAGACCCACCAAGGCUGUGAAUGCCCUCAUCCAACGGGAAAACAUGGAAUUGUGGUUUAAAAGUUCAAACAAGCUCCUGGGCUGGUCUUGGUCUUACCAUGACAGUGGCGGCUCUUCCUUAUCUAUCAACAACACAAGGGAAAAAAGUAGCCUUGGUUGUAGGAACCCAGAGUGCUGAGAAUAUUUCUAUGCCUGUUUUUAAGGGUUCUUACCCCCCUGGACACCACUGGUAUAGCUUUAAACCUUGGAAAAAAUUACCAACAGUCAGACAACAGCUAGAAAAUACAGUGCUGUGAAUUAGGUUAUAGACUACUAGGUAAGAUUGUUACAGGGUGAAAAAUUUAGAGGUUUUAGGCUUCUCUUUGUAGUAA